GAGAGGAAACAACAGGACACAGAGGUCAAAGGUCAAAACAUUUAAAAUAACAUUAAUUUACUUUGUUAAACUGGUUUAUAACUGAAUCAAUAAUUGACAAUAAAAAUUAAAACUCUUUAUCCAAACUAUCAACAAUGAAACUAAAAUAAUUUCCUGGUUGAAUUAAUCAGAUCUUCAUGUUCUGACACCAGGCUGUACUUGACCUUUGACCUUACAGACUUGCUGCUAGCUUAACAGAGUUUCACAUCCUGGCUGCACCUUACGUUGCUUAUGUCAGUGCUGCCUUCAAUGAGUGUGGGAGAUGUCGGUAUCAGAGACCCGACUGGACCAGUUCUGAUCAGUGUGGAGGAACAGAGACACAUCUUAAAGUCAGAGGAUUCUGGACUUCAAUGAAUGCAGGUUCAGUUUGAGAUUAAUGGACCAGAACACAGAGGAGGAGUCCGGCUGCAUCCUGCUGCAGGUUUAUUGAUGGAUUAUUGAUCCUCUGGUUGAUCAGACAUGAUGUCUUUAACUCACUGAUGGUUGAUGGUGAAAACAUGAAGGACUCUUAAAGCUGCAGCUGGAGCUCAGAGGAAACCAACUGGAU